rnacentral:rRNA from 1 species
UACGUAGGUGGCGAGCGUUGUCCGGAUUUACUGGGCGUAAAGGGAGCGUAGGCGGACUUUUAAGUGAGAUGCGAAAUACUCGGGCUCAACUUGAGUGCUGCAUUUCAAACUGGAAGUCUAGAGUGCAGGAGAGGAGAAUGGAAUUCCUAGUGUAGCGGUGAAAUGCGUAGAGAUUAGGAAGAACACCAGUGGCGAAGGCGGUUCUCUGGACUGUAACUGACGCUGAGGCUCGAAAGCGUGGGGAGCAAACAGG